UGAAGACGAGGAUCCUAUUUU
rnacentral:siRNA from 1 species